rnacentral:rRNA from 1 species
GAGAGAGACAUGCGCGCAUAUCAAUAAGCGGAGGAAAAGAAACUAACAAGGAUUCCCUUAGUAACGGCGAGUGAAGCGGGAAGAGCUCAAAUUUGAAAUCUUCAAGGUUUUACCUUGACGAAUUGUAGUUUAAAGAAGUGUUUUCUGCUGAAGUUUUGGUAAAAGUUCUUUGGAAUAGGACAUCAUAGAGGGUGAGAAUCCCGUAUUUGACCAUUAUUUUCAGCUUUGUGAUACACUUUCAAAGAGUCGGAUUGUUUGGGAAUGCAAGUCCAAAAUGGGUGGUAAAUUUCAUCUAAAGCUAAAUAUUGGCGAGAGACCGAUAGCGAACAAGUACCGUGAGGGAAAGAUGAAAAGAACUUUGAAAAGAGAGUUAAACAGUACGUGAAAUUGUCAAAAGGGAAGCGUUUGACACCAGUGUUGUUUUCUCGAAAAUCAAUUAAAAAUGGCUCGAUUUUGUAUUGCUGAGACCUUAAAAGCUCACUGUACAUCUUUUCGUGUCUUUUUUAAUGCACUUUUCGUUUAACAAGUCAACAUCAGUUUCUUUUGUUGUAAAAGGGUCAUUGGAAGGUGGCUUUCUUUUCGGAGAAAGUGUUUAUAGCCUUUGGCCUCUGCAAUCGGAAGAGACUGAGGUCUGCAGCGUAGACUCUUCGGGGUUAGAUACAUUUGUGCUAAGUUAUAGCUUGUUAUAGACAACUUGUUGACUAUAAUUAGUCUUGUAGCUUACUCGCUUAUGCUAUUUUACCUACGCUUAGGAUGUUGAGUCGUAGAGCACGCAG